rnacentral:rRNA from 1 species
UACGUAGGGUGCAAGCGUUGUCCGGAAUUAUUGGGCGUAAAGAGCUCGUAGGCGGUUAGUCGCGUCUGCUGUGAAAACUCGGGGCUUAACUCCGGGCCUGCAGUGGGUACGGGCUGACUAGAGUGCGGUAGGGGAGACUGGAAUUCCUGGUGUAGCGGUGAAAUGCGCAGAUAUCAGGAGGAACACCGGUGGUGUAGACGGCUUACUGGACCAUAACUGACGCUGAGACACGAAAGCGUGGGUAGCAAACAGG